rnacentral:rRNA from 1 species
ACCGGCUAACUCCGUGCCAGCAGCCGCGGUAAUACGGAGGGUGCGAGCGUUAAUCGGAAUUACUGGGCGUAAAGCGCAUGCAGGUGGUUUGUUAAGUCAGAUGUGAAAGCCCGGGGCUCAACCUCGGAAUUGCAUUUGAAACUGGCAAACUAGAGUACUGUAGAGGGGGUAGAAUUUCAGGUGUAGCGGUGAAAUGCGUAGAGAUCUGAAGGAAUACCGGUGGCGAAGGCGGCCCCCCUGGACAGAUACUGACACUCAGAUGCGAAAGCGUGGGGAGCAAACAGGAUUAGAUACCCUGGUAG